GGAAGUGAACCAUCUCAGUACCCUUAGGAAAAGAAAUCAAUUGAGAUUCCCUCAGUAGCGGCGAGCGAACGGGGAUCAGCCCAUUAAGUUAUAUGUGUUUUAGCGGAAAGCUCUGGGAAGUGCUACCGUAGAGGGUGAUAGUCCCGUACACGAAAGGGCACAUAUAAUGAUGACGAGUAGGGCGAGGCACGUGAAACCUUGUCUGAAUAUGGGGGACCAUCCUCCAAGGCUAAAUACUCCUGACUGACCGAUAGUGAACCAGUACCGUGAGGGAAAGGCGAAAAGAACCCCUGUGAGGGGAGUGAAAUAGAUCCUGAAACCGCAUGCAUACAAGCAGUGGGAGCCGACUUGUUCGGUGACUGCGUACCUUUUGUAUAAUGAGCCGGCUAGUU
rnacentral:rRNA from 1 species